UGUGAGGUAAUCGAUCGGUGAGA
rnacentral:piRNA from 1 species